GAAAUCAGCAAGGGGGGAAGCCAUAGUUAGGGUUUUCAAGCUUCCAAGCUCCAUAAUCAAGAAGUACGAAACUCGAGGUUAGACAAAGGGAAGAAUAAAGUUGAAGACUAAGUUGGUGAAUUUGGCUAUAAUUGGUACCGAGUAUUGCAAAGCUACUUCAAGGAUCCUAAAGAAGUCGGAGAUCGUCCACACUAUCAACUACAACUGCUCGGUAUUUUAUAUCGAAACACGUUUGAGUUAUGGCAUGUAUAGGGAUUUAGUUAUUUUGUAUGUUUGUAAUGAUGAUUUUGCUAAUGAGUGAUGUGUAAGUAUUUGAUGAUGUAUGGUCAUUAAAAUGGUUAAGGAUGAAGGUGUUUGUUGUUAUGAAA